rnacentral:ncRNA from 1 species
CUCAUCCUUGUCUUGGGGAGCAGUAUAUUCAAUGAUCGUAUAGUGAGAGUAUAGCUGCUAACACCAAAUGAUAAAUCUACCGCAUCACCCCCUCGUGGGGUAGGUGCAAUUUUUGAAAGC